rnacentral:rRNA from 1 species
AACGAACGCUGGCGGCAUGCCUAACACAUGCAAGUCGAACGAGACCUUCGGGUCUAGUGGCGCACGGGUGCGUAACGCGUGGGAACCUGCCCUUAGGUUCGGAAUAACUCCCCGACAGGGGUGCUAAUACCGGAUAAUGUCUUCGGACCAAAGAUUUAUCGCCUUUGGAUGGGCCCGCGUUGGAUUAGCUAGUUGGUAGGGUAAAAGCCUACCAAGGCGAGGAUCCAUAGCUGGUCUGAGAGGAUGAUCAGCCACACGGGGACUGAGACACGGCCCAGACUCCUACGGGAGGCAGCAGUGGGGGAUGAAGGACAGUGGGCGAAAGCCUGAACCAGCAAUGCCGCGUGAGUAAUGAAAGCCUGAAAGUUGUAAAGCUCAUUUAACCGGGAAGAUAAUGACGGUACCGAGAGAAAAAGCUCCGGCUAACUCCGUG